rnacentral:rRNA from 1 species
GUGGGGAAUAUUGGACAAUGGGCGCAAGCCUGAUCCAGCCAUGCCGCGUGUGUGAAGAAGGCCUUUUGGUUGUAAAGCACUUUAAGCGAGGAGGAGGCUCCUUUAGUUAAUACCUAAAGAGAGUGGACGUUACUCGCAGAAUAAGCACCGGCUAACUCUGUGCCAGCAGCCGCGGUAAUACAGAGGGUGCGAGCGUUAAUCGGAUUUACUGGGCGUAAAGCGUGCGUAGGCGGCUUUUUAAGUCGGAUGUGAAAUCCCUGAGCUUAACUUAGGAAUUGCAUUCGAAACUGGAAAGAUAGAGUAUGGGAUAGGAUGGUAGAAUUCCAGGUGUAGCGGUAAAAUUCGUAGAGAUCUGGAGGAAUACCGAUGGCGAAGGCAGCCAUCUGGCCUAAUACUGACGCUGAGGUACGAAAGCAUGGGGAGCAAACAGGAUUAGAUACCCUGGUAGUCC